CCCUCUCCCGGGUUCAAGCGAUUCUCGUGUCUCAGCCUCCCGAGUAACUGGGAUUACAGACCCAUUCUCCAUCCUUCUUCAUCCCACCCUGUGCCCCAGGAUUCAGACCCUUUCUCCAUCCGUCUUCAUCCCAUCUUGAGCCCCAGGAGAUGACAUUUAUGGACUGCUUCAACUGUGCUUUCCUGUGCUCUGGAAUCCAGCUGGGUCUAGUGCAUGGUACACUCUGGCAGCAAAUGAAAGAGUGGGAGGAGAGGUGGUUGGGAUAUUGAUCCCCCCUUGGCCAUUUCCCUGCCAGGCUGCAGGUUAGCAGUGGCCGAGUCCUCUUCUACGCUGCUCCCUCCAGGUUCCUCUAGCCCUCCCUUUCCCCAGCCCUUCAAGCCUAGAGGUGCCCAAUGCCCAAGGUGCACCUGAGACCAAGUGAAUCAGAAUCUCUAGGCAGGGGCACCCAGCAUUCAUACUUCAAAGUUUCCCCCAGGAGGUUCUACCGUGCAGUCCAGGUUGAGAAAAAAAACAGCUCUAGAGCUUUUGUUUUUGUUUUUAGAUGGAGUCUUGCUCUUGUUGCCCAGGCUGGAGUGCAAUGGCACUAUCUCAGCUCACCGAAACCUCCGCCUCCGGGGUGCAAGCGAUUCUCCUGCCUCAGCCUCGCAAGUAGCUGGGAUUACAGGUGAUCCGCCCACCUCAGCAUCCCAAAGAGCUGGGAUUACAGACAUGAACCGCCGUGCCUGGCAGAACAGAUGCCGAGUCAGCUGUCUCAGAUGGAGUCUGAAAUUCUGCAUGUCUAACAAGAUCUCUGGGUGAUUCACAUGCACAUUAAACUUUGAGAAGCACUGUCCUCAUUGAUUCCUUCACUUAAUAGAUUUAAAAAGGGAAAUCCAGAGACAUAAAGCAACUGGCCUGAGAAUAUACAGGACCAGAACCAAGUCCUCCAAGUCUAAUGGUUUUGGCAUGGCCUACGGUGAAGUCACAGGGUGGAGACCUGAGAUGACCCUGAGAGGCAGCAGUGAAGAGUCAGAAAGGAAUACUUGCCGGAGGCUGGGGUUCUACUAAGAGGACUUUCUUUAAACAGGGUAUUCCACAGGCACUACAUUUGUUUGUUUGUUUUUCUUCCGAGACAGAGUCUCGCUCUGUUGCCCAGGCUGUAGGGCAGUGGUGCAAUCUCAGCUCACUGCAGCCUCUACCUCCUGAGUCCAGGCUAUUCUGCC